rnacentral:rRNA from 1 species
CAGCAGCCGCGGGAAAACGUAGGGUGCAAGCGUUAAUCGGAAUUACUGGGCGUAAAGCGUGCGCAGGCGGUCCGCUAAGACAGAUGUGAAAUCCCCGGGCUUAACCUGGGAACUGCAUUUGUGACUGGCGAGCUAGAGUAUGGCAGAGGGGGGUAGAAUUCCACGUGUAGCAGUGAAAUGCGUAGAGAUGUGGAGGAAUACCGAUGGCGAAGGCAGCCCCCUGGGCCAAUACUGACGCUCAUGCACGAAAGCGUGGGGAGCAAACAGGAUUAGAUACCCCUGUAGUCCCUGUCUCUUAUAC